CCUACGGGAGGCAGCAGUGGGGAAUAUUGCACAAUGGGCGAAAGCCUGAUGCAGCGACGCCGCGUGAGGGAUGACGGCCUUCGGGUUGUAAACCUCUUUCAGCAGGGAAGAAGCGAAAGUGACGGUACCUGCAGAAGAAGCGCCGGCUAACUACGUGCCAGCAGCCGCGGUAAUACGUAGGGCGCAAGCGUUGUCCGGAAUUAUUGGGCGUAAAGAGCUCGUAGGCGGCUUGUCACGUCGGAUGUGAAAGCCCGAGGCUUAACCUCGGGUCUGCAUUCGAUACGGGCUAGCUAGAGUGUGGUAGGGGAGAUCGGAAUUCCUGGUGUAGCGGUGAAAUGCGCAGAUAUCAGGAGGAACACCGGUGGCGAAGGCGGAUCUCUGGGCCAUUACUGACGCUGAGGAGCGAAAGCGUGGGGAGCGAACAGGAUUAGAUACCCUGGUAGUCCACGCCGUAAACGUUGGGAACUAGGUGUUGGCGACAUUCCACGUCGUCGGUGCCGCAGCUAACGCAUUAAGUUCCCCGCCUGGGGAGUACGGCCGCAAGGCUAAAACUUAAAUGAAUUGACGG
rnacentral:rRNA from 1 species